UAAACUUUAUACCUAUUUUCACAGUCUUUGCCUCCUUGAAACAUCCUUGUUUUCAACAAGGGGUAAGAAUCAGGGCAGUUCUACUUUUAGCCUCUAGCUAGUAGCUAGGGUUCCUGGUUUUCACCCAGGCUGCCCAGGUUCAAUUCCUGAGCAGAGAAUUAAGAUCUUGCUUCCAGCCAUCACGCACUGCUCUUUGGUGGAGAUCAGAACCCCAGGAUAUUGGGGGGGAGUUGGACUCUGCAAGUUGGGAUCGUUGCCCUGACCCAGCGGGCAAGGGAAGCGGGUGCUGCUCUUCUGGGGGGGGGGGCGCUCCUGCCCCCCCUCCCCCCGCACGAGCACCCAGCCCCUCCAGCUCCCGUCUCCACAUUCCUCCCAGGACUUGGCGCUGCCGCCCCCGUGCAGCCACUCAGGAGAUGGCUGGGAUUCCAGCGGCCCACGGGACUCCUGUGUCAGCUAGAAGCGCCCUGCCAAUGGGAGCCUGGAUAAAAAGUCCUCUAUGUGCCGUAGGCGGCGACAAUGUCCACCGCGGCCCACGCUUCCAUUAUGGGGACAUUUCUCUAUCAGCCUCACGCUCUGAAGAGACGUGCAGAUUUUGUGCAAAGUGUAUGGUUUGACGGCUUGGCGCCCUGUGGGCUUUCCUUGAACGGGAUGCUAUUGGGGCCUGAUCCCCGCUCCCUGCGCUAGUCCCCGCCAAGCCCCAGCAGGGCACAACUUGGGCAACAAAAGAAAGACGUGUACAGGGGUCCAUGCAGGUGGCAUACGAUGGAUGCCACCUACUAUCAUGGUUCGUUUCACGUUUUAAAUGUGGCCUUGAAAGUUUAAAGGCAUCUCUGUGGCCUGCAUUGUAUUUCUGUUGGGCAGGGCCUCCCCGCUGGGCGCUGGCGUUAGGACGCCCUGGACGGGGGUCCUGGGGUCUGAGUUCCAGGGUCAUUGAUGGGCGUUAACGAACCAGAAGCCUUUGAACACAUUCCUUGUCUGAGUCUCCGUUUCCUUGUCCAUUACAUAGGAGAGGUGCUUGGGUUACAUCCCAGCCACCUGCAACCUUCCCCGCGUCUGCUUCCCAGACAACGUGGGUACGUGGGCACGUGGCCGGGGGAUGGUAAUGCUGUGACUCAGCCUGGUUCCGUUCCUGCACAGGGCCAGGCUCACGCACACCUUUUGGAGCAGAGGUUAAAUGCAGCGUGUUGACGGGUGGAUGGACAGGACGUGGCAGGCACGUUUGUUUAGUCGUUAGCCGAUGAUAGCCGAACUCCCCAAGGACCCUUCUCUCUUUGGAACCCCGAGCUCCCGAGUUGCAGCACAACCCCCAGGAGGUGCGAGGGGCCUGGACACCCAUAGCCAGCACGCAACCGUGGGGCCCGCUUCUCAGAAACCCAUUUCAGGGCCAGGGAGCAGAGGAAUUAACUCUCCCUUCCAGGAACCACUUCUACAGAAAUCUUUUAAGUGCUGGAGGCAGUGGCUGCCUGGGCUCCUGCGUUGUUUGUGCCUGCAGACACUGAAAUGAAUAUUUAAGAGGAGUGGACAGAAGAGCCAGGAGAAGCCUGCACCCGGCUCUCUGCAUUCCCGUCCUCUCCGCCAACCUCUCUCCCAGCAGCCAGUCAGGUGUCCCUUCCCUGAUGUCACGUCCUUGCCUUGCAAACCUGGGGCUCGUUUGCUCCUUCUUGGGAAUGAAGUCCAGUCUGGCGUUCUUGGGGUUCCCUUGCUGAGGCCCCGGCUCCCCUGCCCCCAGAGCAGUGCAACCCUGAGCCCUGGCCACGGGGUCCCCUCUGCUGGGAAGGCCCUUUCAUCCCUCGCGGCCCCUGCAAUCCCACCUGCCUUUGUGUGCUCAGCUUUUAGGACCCCAACUCCUCCACCGAAGCUCCCCUUGGCUGAGGGCUUGCUCUGGGUGCUGGCUCCAUCUUAGCUCAUCCUCCCAACACCCGCCCCAGAGGGCCAGUUCCCCCAGGGAGGCUGGAUGAGGGCGGAUGAGACCCCCUGCUCAGGAGCCCACUAAGCGGCCCGGCACUGGCCCCUUCCGUGGGGACCGAUUUCUCCUCUGCACCGUUUGCCCUUGUGUCACAGCCCUGGUGGGCAUCUGCUCGGGCUGCCAGAAUAAGGCACCACACACCACAGAAAUCUGUUUCCUCCCAGGUCUGGAGGCUGGCAGUCCCAGGUCAAGGUGCUGGCAGUCCCGGGUCAUCUGAGGCCUUGCCCUUGGCUUGCAGGUGGCCGUCCUCCCGCUGUGUCCUCCCAGGGUCCCCGCUCUGUAUGGCGUCCUUCUCUCAGAAGGAACCAGUCAGACUAGACGAGGGCCACCCACCCCAGGGACCUCCCCUAACCAAAUACAUGGCCUUCUUUGGUGGCUGGUGUUAGGACUUCCGCGUGUGAAUUUGGAGACACGUUUGGGCUGCAGCAGCAGUGAUGGGGGCCGACUCUGGGCCUUCGUGGUUUAGAUGCAUGUCUGCUCCCCUCCCAGCCCACAGAGGCUGUGUCUGCUUCAGCCCCGGCUCCUUCUGGGCGCCGAGUUGGGCUCAGCGCUUUUAAGGAGGUGCCGCCGCCGCUUCUGAGCUGGUCUGGCCCUUAGGAGCGGGUGACGUCUGGGUGCAGCAGGAGGAUGGGUGCCGCCAUUUGCUGUUACCUGAACGUGUCAUUUGUGUCCUCAAAGCGAGGGACACAGUCACCUGCUCCACCUCCAGCUAGAGAAGGCUCUCCGACGGCCCAGGAUGUGCUGGGCUUGGAAGGGGUCCUGGGUCCUGGGAAGGGGAGACUGGGGAACAGCGAGCACGCAGGGCUCAGAAGUGAAGGGGACCUGGUGGGGGUGCAGGCUGCCACGAUGCCUGGGGUAUGCCUGUGUGUAAGCACAGGGCAGGGAGGGCUGGCGAGUGACAGCUGAAGUCCCCAAGUGUAGCUGGGGCGAGUCUUGGGUGCCAUGGACUUUGGCCUGAGGAGCUGGGCGGCAGGCGGGCGGCGGGUGGUGCUGAGAAAGGGCUGAGGAUCUGGGGAGUGCCCGCGCUUUCCUCAGGUCUGCAAAGUGGAGUUUCUGGGAAGGGCCAUCUUCUAGCCUCAUGGUUGCUGGCUUGCUUAUUUUUUUUUAAUUUUUUUUUUUUUUUUUUUUUGCUGUGCUAUACUGUUUUUUUUAAAAAAAUUUAAAGUGUAGUUGAUUACAAUAUUCUCUCAAUCUGUGCUGUACAGCAAAAUGACCCAGUCAUGCAUAUAUAUGCACGAUUUUUCUCAUAUUAUCUUCCAGGAUGUGGUACAGAUACACAAUGGAAUAUUACUCAGCCAUAAAAAGAAUGAAAUAAUGCCAUUUGCAGCAACAUGGAUGCAGCUAGAGAGUCUCAUACUAAACGAAAUUAAGUUGGAAAAGAGAAAGACAAAUACCUUACAAGAUCACUUAUAUGUGGAAUCUAAAAUAUGGCACAAAUGAACCUGUCUACAGCACAGAAACAAACUCGUGGUUGCCAAGGAGGAGGGGGAGGGAGUGGGGUGGACGGGAGUCUGGGGUGGCGGAUGCCAGCUGGUACAUUCAGAAGGGAUCAGCAGUGAGGUCUUGCUCGUUGCUGCUUUUCCGAAGCAGGGAAGAUGCACAAGUCCUGGGAACUGUCCCAGGGUUCCCGUCUCGGGACAGGUCACUGCAUGGAUGCCUGAGCUGGAAACGGGCCCACAGCCCAGAUUCCUGGACCUCCUUCUUCUGAGUGACUCCCUCUCCGAUCUCAGCGGUCCUACCCCCCGAUGACCUCAUGGAUCCUGCAUGACCCCACGCAAGCCUCCGGGCCCUCCAGGCCCUGCUGGGGACUGGGCUUCCCGCCGCGCCCUCGACCCCACCCCUGCCAUUCCCUUUGCACUCAGGGAGCAGAGACGUCCUUCCAAAAAGGGAACCAUUCCUCUGCUGGAACCUUCUGGUAGCUCCCUGUGGUCUUCCGGUUAAGUCCCAACUCUGGGUGGCCUCGUUCCCCCACCACCUGUGACCACUCCACACCUCAGGCAGCAAAGGCCACUCAGGCCAUCAGUCAAGAGCCAUGUCCACGUCUGUCCAGAGACACACCCUCCACGGCCGCAGCCACAGUGACCGGGCGGCCAGAUUCACUCAGGGCAGAAAGCACUCCGCAGCAAAGGGCCGGCGGCCCCUUGGGGUUCUGGUUAAAGGCAGGUUGGAUCCAGGCUCACAAAAUCCAUCAACAGCACAGAAGAGCGCUCGCUCGGAAGACAGGAAGGCAGAUGACUGUGAGGAUAAAGAGAGAGAGAGAGGCGUCAGUUGCAGCCACACUUUGGAAGACGCAGCCACGGGCGCAGAGUAAUUGACUUGACAGAUGUAGGAAGCUCGUUGCUAAAUCUGAGCGAGAAAGGGGAAGCCCAGGGUGCACCCCAGAACCCCCAAAGCCUGGCGAAGGGCAGCCCCAUGUGCCGUUGGACGUGGGGGUCAAAGACCGUCCUUGGAAAGCUGUUUAAGAAGAGGUCAAACUCUUCCCCGCCGCCCCCCAUUUCCUCCUCUGCUCUGCACAGCAGGCGACUGCCUGGCCCAUGGGCGGAGAGAAAACCAGACAUUUUUCCCUCGGGAGAUGUUUAAGCUGCAGGUCCCUGGACCCAAGGGCACUGAACACAACAAGCGAAAGCUCAAAUGGCCAUUUUGGAGCGCUUCCCGCAGGCGGUGAGCUGAGUCCCGCAGGAGGGGCUGGCCCUGGACGGAUGAGGAGGGAGGCGGGAGGGAUGAGUCCUGGCAGAGCAGGGGCCAGAGGGCCGGUGGUGAAGGAGGUGGGCUCGGCGGUGGCAGGGAGCGGGGGAUGGUCUGGGGCAGGCAGGAAGGAGGAGGCUCGAAGUGGGCUCUGCCACCACCCUGGGGCUCGGAUGCGGGCAGAAAGAUCCUUCUGGGUUCAUGGAAACUACGGAAACGGGGCUUUAAGAUCUUUUUGCAACUGAACGUCUAGGCCGAGGUCUGGAGAAGCUGGUGGCAGGGAACCCAGGAGAAUGCCUUUGACGAUGACCAAAGGCUGGGACGGGUGGGAAGGAAGUGAGAAGAACGCCGCAAACCCAGCGGGCGAAAGCUUAUCUAUUCUCGUGACUCUGCUCACUGGCUCGCCUAGGACACCGCCACAGAGAUUUUUGGCAGGUAAGAAUGUUAGAUUUAUGAUGGCGAAGUCCCAGCUCUUUGAAUUAUUUGAAGGAAUCCCAG
rnacentral:lncRNA from 1 species